rnacentral:rRNA from 1 species
CCUACGGGAGGCAGCAGUAGGGAAUAUUGCUCAAUGGGGGAAACCCUGAAGCAGCAACGCCGCGUGGAGGAUGAAGGUUUUAGGAUUGUAAACCUCUUUUGUCGGGGAGCAAAAGACGCCACGCGUGGCGUUCCGAGAGUACCCGAAGAAAAAGCAUCGGCUAACUCCGUGCCAGCAGCCGCGGUAAUACGGAGGAUGCGAGCGUUAUCCGGAUUUAUUGGGUUUAAAGGGUGCGCAGGCGGAAGAUCAAGUCAGCGGUAAAAUUGAGAGGCUCAACCUCUUCGAGCCGUUGAAACUGGUUGUCUUGAGUGAGCGAGAAGUAUGCGGAAUGCGUGGUGUAGCGGUGAAAUGCAUAGAUAUCACGCAGAACUCCGAUUGCGAAGGCAGCAUACCGGCGCUCAACUGACGCUCAUGCACGAAAGUGUGGGUAUCAAACAGGAUUAGAUACCCGGGUAGUC